rfam:Salmo salar isolate Sally breed double haploid chromosome ssa24, whole genome shotgun sequence.
AAACAGGUUCUAUUCAGAACCUCUCAGACUAGAAAAUAUAAAUAAU